GGAAAUGUGCCCGAGAUAUAAGGAAUACUUUGAUAGAGUAUAUUACAGAGACUAAACCCUCUCAUUUCCU
rnacentral:tRNA from 1 species